rnacentral:rRNA from 1 species
AAGCCAUGCGAGUUAAAUGUUCUUCGUGAACAUAGCAGACUGCUCAGUAACACGUGGAUAACCUGCCCUUAGGACUGGCAUAACCCCGGGAAACUGGGGAUAAUUCCGGAUAGAUCAUAAAUGCUGGAAUGCUUUAUGAUUGAAAGGUUUCGACCGCCUUAGGAUGGAUCUGCGGCCUAUCAGGUUGUAGUGGGUGUAAUGUACCUACUAGCCUACGACGGGUACGGGUUGUGGAAGCAAGAGCCCGGAGAUGGAUUCUGAGACAUGAAUCCAGGCCCUACGGGGCGCAGCAGGCGCGAAAACUUUACAAUGCGGGAAACCGUGAUAAGGGAACACUGAGUGCUAGCAUUUAUGUUAGCUGUCCACAUGUGUAAAUAGCAUGUGAUAGCAAGGGCUGGGCAAGACCGGUGCCAGCCGCCGCGGUAACACCGGCAGCCCGAGUGGUGAUCACUAUUAUUGGGUCUAAAGGGUCCGUAGCCGGUUUAAUCAGUCUUCUGGGAAAUCUAAUCGCUUAACUAUUAGGCUUCCAGGGGAUACUGUUAGACUUGGGACCGGGAGAGGUAAGAGGUACUGCAGGGGUAGGAGUGAAAUCUUGUAAUCCCUGUGAGACCACCAGUGGCGAAGGCGUCUUACCAGAACGGGUCCGACGGUGAGGGACGAAAGCUGGGGGCACGAACCGGAUUAGAUACCCGGGUAGUCCCAGCUGUAAACGAUGCUCGUUAGGUGUCAGGAACGGUGCGACUGUUUCUGGUGCCGAAGGGAAGCCGUGAAACGAGCCA